UCCGUAGGUGAACCUGCGGAAGGAUCAUUACCGAGUGCAGGUCUGCCCCCGGGCAGGCCUAACCUCCCACCCGUGAAUACCUGACCAACGUUGCUUCGGCGGUGCGCCCCCCCCGGGGGUAGCCGCCGGAGACCACACCGAACCUCCUGUCUUUAGUGUUGUCUGAGCUUGAUAGCAAACCUAUUAAAACUUUCAACAAUGGAUCUCUUGGUUCCGGCAUCGAUGAAGAACGCAGCGAACUGCGAUAAGUAAUGUGAAUUGCAGAAUUCAGUGAAUCAUCGAGUCUUUGAACGCACAUUGCGCCCCCUGGCAUUCCGGGGGGCAUGCCUGUCCGAGCGUCAUUGCUGCCCUUCAAGCCCGGCUUGUGUGUUGGGUCGUCGUCCCCCCCGGGGGACGGGCCCGAAAGGCAGCGGCGGCACCGCGUCCGGUCCUCGAGCGUAUGGGGCUUUGUCACCCGCUCGUUAAAGGGCGGCCGGGCGCCAGCCGGCGUCUCCAACCUUCUAUUUACCAGGUGACCUCGGAUCAGGAGGAUCAAGUCGGGGGGGGGGGUGUC
rnacentral:misc_RNA from 1 species